rnacentral:rRNA from 1 species
UACGUAGGGUGCGAGCGUUAAUCGGAAUUACUGGGCGUAAAGCGUGCGCAGGCGGUUAGUUAAGUCUGAUGUGAAAGCCCCGGGCUCAACUUGGGAAUGGCAUUGGAAACUGGCUGGCUAGAGUGCGGCAGAGGGGGGUGGAAUUCCGCGUGUAGCAGUGAAAUGCGUAGAGAUGCGGAGGAACACCGAUGGCGAAGGCAGCCCCCUGGGCUGACACUGACGCUCAGGCACGAAAGCGUGGGGAGCAAACAGG